AGCGGGAAGCCCUCGCUCCCAGGGGCCCGGGCUCCCUCCAGCGCUGGUGAGCGCCCCCAGGGGUUGCCUAACUAGAGGCGUUGCCAUCUGAGCGCCGUCCAAAAGUUUCAUCCAAAUUCGUCACUUCUGGAAAAUGCCUUCUUUCUUCCGAGGCCCAACUUUUGCAAAUGAAGAAAUUAGCAGGCUGUCCAAAGGUGGUCGGAGGCGAGAGCAAGACAUAGCUCCCUUCGAGAAGUAGCCAGCUGAGACCAGAUCUGAAAGUUUGGCCCACACCUCACCCUUCAGUACAUCAAUGGGAAACAAGAUGAGCCAGGAACUCUACAGUGGAAGCGGACUCUAAAUGACCCAGGCACCCCUCUCAGACAAUGCUUCAGGGGGUCCAAGAAGAGUCAGAGAAGACAGUGCGAGCCAACACUUACGUAAUCCAAGAAUUGCAAGCUCAAAUUCCUUCCUGGAGUGUACAAAAUGAGUAAAUUGGAUCCAGUGCAAGAGAAAAACUGCAAACGUGAUGAUAUAAGGCAACUGAUUUCCACUGUUGGGGUAAUAGGGAAUAGUAGGGACUGUGGCAAACUGGAGGGCAUAGGCAUCCAAAGGGGACAACAGCUGAUGAGCUCUGGGCAAAUGUUGCCACAUAGUAAUGGGAGCCCAUUGCUGCCAGAUCUUCUAAAUCUUUCAAGAGAAGCUGGGAAUCCAAAUUUGUGAGAUUUACAGACUUGUUUAAUUUGGCUCACAUUUUUAUAAAUAUUGGGUAAACACAAACACCUGUGGGCAACACCAAACCAAGACACUGAUUCACUAGCUGGCUGAAGACACAGGACGGUCUCACUUUGCAAAGCCCAUCACCUGUAAGUCAAUCCAUGGCUUUUAUGCCUCAGCAUCUAGGAACUCAGAUCUGGUUCAGUGUAGAUGGCGGUUGACUCAAAAGUAGCCUCAGCUGUGUUGCCUCAUACACGUCACUCAGACCCUCAGCCUCUUCCUCUCCCAAAGGCCAAAGUACCUCAGAGGAAUGCUGUAUGAUGGAAUAAUGCCUAUAAACUAGCAGGCCAAUAAAAGAGAUUAAGUGCUUAA